GGAAGAGUGUCCGAGUGGUUUAAGGAACCGGUUUUGAAAACCGGCGUACUCGAAAGGGUACCGUGGGUUCGAAUCCCUCCUCUUCCU
rnacentral:tRNA from 1 species